rnacentral:rRNA from 1 species
GUGGGGAAUCUUCCGCAAUGGACGAAAGUCUGACGGAGCAACGCCGCGUGAGUGAAGAAGGUUUUCGGAUCGUAAAGCUCUUUCGUUAGGGACGAACGUGCUCUUUGUGAAUAAUGAGGAGUAAUGACGGUACCUAAAUAAGAAGCCACGGCUAACUACGUGCCAGCAGCCGUGGUAAUACGUAGGUGGCAAGCGUUGUCCGGAAUUAUUGGGCGUAAAGCGCGCGCAGGCGGGAUAUCAAGUCUGUCUUAAAAGUGCGAGGCUCAACCUCGUGAGGGGACAGAAACUGGUAUUCUUGAGUGUCGGAGAGGAAAGUGGAAUUCCAAGUGUAGCGGUGAAAUGCGUAGAGAUUUGGAAGAACACCAGUGGCGAAGGCGACUUUCUGGACGAAAACUGACGCUGAGGCGCGAAAGCCAGGGGAGCGAACGGGAUUAGAUACCCUGGUAGUCC